rnacentral:piRNA from 1 species
UAGAGCUUCAGAUGAUAUCUUUGCAACUGC